ACGGGGCCCCGCACAAGCGGUGGAGCAUGUGGUUUAAUUCGAUGCAACGCGAAGAACCUUACCUACUCUUGACAUCCAGAGAACUUUCCAGAGAUGGAUUGGUGCCUUCGGGAACUCUGAGACAGGUGCUGCAUGGCGUCGUCAGCUCGUGUUGUGAAAUGUUGGGUUAAGUCCCGCAACGAGCGCAACCCUUAUCCUUUGUUGCCAGCGGUUAGGCCGGGAACUCAAAGGAGACUGCCAGUGAUAAACUGGAGGAAGGUGGGGAUGACGUCAAGUCAUCAUGGCCCUUACGAGUAGGGCUACACACGUGCUACAAUGGCGCAUACAAAGAGAAGCGACCUCGCGAGAGCAAGCGGACCUCAUAAAGUGCGUCGUAGUCCGGAUUGGAGUCUGCAACUCGACUCCAUGAAGUCGGAAUCGCUAGUAAUCGUAGAUCAGAGUGCUACGGUGAAUACGUUCCCGGGCCUUGUACACACCGCCCGUCACACCAUGGGAGUGGGUUGCAAAAGAAGUAGGUAGCUUAACCUUCGGGAGGGCGCUUACCACUUUGUGAUUCAUGACUGGGGUGAAGUCGUAACAAGGUAACCAAGGGCGAAUUCCAG
rnacentral:rRNA from 1 species